GGUCUACUGAGGAGUCCCACAAUAGGACGAAACGGCCGUCCAGUGU
rnacentral:hammerhead_ribozyme from 1 species